rnacentral:rRNA from 1 species
GUUUACGGCCAUGCCACCCUGAACAAGUCCGAUCCCAUCUGAUCUCGGAAGCUGAGCAGGGUCGGGCCUGAUUAGUUCUUGGAUGGGAGACCACCUAGGAAGACCAGAUGCUGUAGGUG